rnacentral:rRNA from 1 species
AAUAGAUACCCCGGUAGUCCACGCCGUAAACGAUGAAUACUAGGUGUAGGGGUUGUCAUGACCUCGUGUGCCGCCGCAAACGCAUUAAGUAUUCCACCUGGGGAGUACGGUCGCAAGAUUAAAACUCAAAGGAAUUGACGGGGGCCCGCACAAGCAGCGGAGCAUGUGGUUUAAUUCGAAGCAACGCGAAGAACCUUACCUAGACUUGACAUCUCCUGAAUUACUCUUAAUCGAGGAAGUCCCUUCGGGGACAGGAAGACAGGUGGUGCAUGGUUGUCGUCAGCUCGUGUCGUGAGAUGUUGGGUUAAGUCCCGCAACGAGCGCAACCCUUAUUAUUAGUUGCUACCAUUAAGUUGAGCACUCUAGCAAGACUGCCCGGGUUAACCGGGGAGGAAGGUGGGGAUGACGUCAAAUCAUCAUGCCCCUUAUGUCUAGGGCUACACACGUGCUACAAUGGACAAGUAACGAAAAAGAUGCAAUACCGCGAAGGUGGAGCUAAAACUUAAAAACUUGUCUCAGUUCGGUAUUGUAGGCUGAAACUCGCCUACA